GACGAACGCUGGCGGCGUGCUUAACACAUGCAAGUCGAACGGUGAAGCGCCUUCCUUUUUGGUGGGUGUGGAUGAGUGGCGAACGGGUGAGUAACACGUGAGUAACCUGCCCCCUUCUUCUGGAUAACCGCAUGAAAGUGUGGCUAAUACGGGAUAUUCUGGGUCUGUCGCAUGAUGGGUCUGGGAAAGAUAUUGUUUCGGUGGGGGAUGGUCUCGCGGCCUAUCAGCUUGGUGGUGGGGUGAUGGCCUACCAAGGCGGUGACGGGUAGCCGGCCUGAGAGGGUGGACGGUCACACUGGGACUGAGACACGGACAAGACUCCUACGGGAGGCAGCAGUGGGGAAUAUUGCACAAUGGGCGCAAGCCUGAUGCAGCGACGCCGCGUGAGGGAUGGAGGCCUUCGGGUUGUGAACCUCUUUCGCCAGUGAAGCAGGCCUGCCUCGUUUGUGGGUGGGUUGACGGUAGCUGGAUAAGAAGCGCCGGCUAACUACGUG
rnacentral:rRNA from 1 species